AUAUAACUAAGCGGAGGAAAAGAAACUAACCAGGAUUUCCCUAGUAACGGCGAGUGAAGCGGAAAAAGCUCAGACUGAAAAUCUUCGGAGUUGUAGUCUAUAGAAAAUUUGGUUCAUUAUGGAACUUUGAUAAAGUUGUCUGGAACGACACGCCGUGGAGGGUGACAGCCCCGUUCAUAUCAAAGGGAAGUGAGAAACUAGGUUUUCGAUGAGUCGAGUUGUUUGGGAUUGCAGCUCUAAUCGGGAGGUAAAUUCCUUCUAAAGCUAAAUAUGGAUGGGAGACCGAUAGCGCACAAGUA
rnacentral:rRNA from 1 species